rnacentral:lncRNA from 1 species
UGAUGUGCUAUUUUUGCUGUCUUGUGAUGCAGGCUGCUUUGGGCCCCUGGGUCACUCUUCCAAGGCUGCUGUAGAGCACAGAGACAUGGGGCUGGCCAGUGUUGACUGACCUGAGGAGACCCCUUUGUUUGUUGCCUUCAUAACUGUCACUAAACCGACCCCUCUGCCCUUUCAGUGGCAACUCUGGUCUAAGGGAACAUUCAGCACUCUAGCGGCAUCUGAUUGGAAGUUCCCUCACCCAAGUAAUCUCAAUUCCUUCCUCUCUCCAUCCCUGAAAGAAACAGGAUGGAUUUUCCUCUCUUCUCCCUGCUACAUUCACUACCAGAUUUUUAUGCUACAGUUUCAUUCUUGAUUGUGAUUUCUCCAUGGAAUUUUUUUUUUCUGGUGACAUUUCUAUCAUGGAAAUAGGAAGAUUUCGGAGUGCUUUGUGAAGAUUUCAAUUGUCUGUCUCUUUCUCUCUUUGACUUGUAUGAAGGAGAUUGUACAUUGCCUGAUAUCUCUUUGUAAAUGAGAAAUAUUGCUAACAUCCAAGCAUUCUGAAGUCUUGCUUAUCCUUCUGAGUUUAGUUCUCAUUUUGUUUUACAUUUUGUUUGGGGACUUGGGGCAAGCUAUUUAUUAGAGUUUUGCAACAGAGUUCUUGUUUGAAGCCUCUAAAGACUACCUGUAAAAUUCAAAGAAUAAAAUUCAUUUUAAACGCUCUUUUAAAACACUUUGGUAUUAUUGCUUGAGGUUUGCUUAUUUGAAAGACCACCCAAUAACUCAUUGACCCUCCUUGCAUCCGAAUUUUUUCAUCAAGCUUUGUUAACACUAAUGAUGAUUCUUGAAAAUUUCUGUCCUUCUCAGAAUGUUAAUAAACUUUUUUACUCUGUCCA